UUUCCACUGAUACUCUAGAGCAGUAUCAGUGGAACGUCAGACCUCAUCUGAUGAAAGCAGCAGAUGUCAAUUCUCAACAUCUGUUGUACAGCUUAAGGACCAUCACGAUACAUACCUAAAGCCAUACUCUUUGUCAGAAAGGAAAACAAGACUCCCUCUCCGUUGGGAGAAACACGUCAUUCACGUCACACAAAGACUGAAAACCCUAAGAGAGACUGGAAUUCAUGGCCAGGUUCCCAGAUGGAGCUGGGCGAAGAAGCUGCAGUCUAGCCUUUCAUGGGUAUUGUAAAAAUGACCUUUCUAAAUCUCAGCUGUACUAUUAUUACAGUAUAAGAAAGAGAGAAGUCUGAGAAAGACGUAGAAAG